rnacentral:rRNA from 1 species
GGAUGUGAUCAUACCAGCACAAAUGCAUUGGGUCCCAUCAGAACUCUGCAGUUAAACGUGCUUGGGCAAGAGUAGUACUAAGUUGGGUAACAACUUGAAAAGUCCUCGUGUUGCACCCA